UACGGAGGGUGCAAGCGUUAUCCGGAUUCACUGGGUUUAAAGGGUGCGUAGGAGGGCAGGUAAGUCAGUGGUGAAAUCUCCAAGCUUAACUUGGAAACUGCCGUUGAUACUAUCUGUCUUGAAUAUUGUGGAGGUGAGCGGAAUAUGUCAUGUAGCGGUGAAAUGCUUAGAUAUGACAUAGAACACCAAUUGCGAAGGCAGCUCACUACACAAUCAUUGACUCUGAGGCGCGAAAGCGUGGGGAUCAAACAGG
rnacentral:rRNA from 1 species